CAAUAGCGUAUAUUAAAGUUGUUGCAGUUAAAAAGCUCGUAGUUGGAUUUCUGGUUGGAGCGACCGGUCGGGCAUUGAUUUGUCUGCACUGGAGUCGGUUCUGGCCAUCCUCUUGGAAAGUGCGUCUGUCAUUAAGUUGUCGGGCGUAUGAUCCAGGUCUUUUACUGUGAAAAAAUUAGAGUGUUUAAAGCAGGCCUUCGCCUUGAAUACAUUAGCAUGGAAUAAUAAGAUAGGACUUUGGUCUAUUUUGUUGGUUUGCAGACCGAAGUAAUGAUUAAUAGGGAUAGUUGGGGGUAUUUAUAUUCCAAUGUCAGAGGUGAAAUUCUUAGAUUUUUGGAAGAUAAACUUAUGCGAANGNAUUUACNAAGGAUGUUUNCAUUA
rnacentral:rRNA from 1 species